rnacentral:rRNA from 1 species
CACGUAGGGGGCAAGCGUUGUCCGGAUUUAUUGGGCGUAAAGAGCUCGUAGGCGGCUUAGUAAGUCGGGUGUGAAACCUCCAGGCUCAACCUGGAGACGCCACCCGAUACUGCUGUGGCUAGAGUUCGGUAGGGGAGACUGGAAUUCCUGGUGUAGCGGUGAAAUGCGCAGAUAUCAGGAGGAACACCGGUGGCGAAGGCGGGUCUCUGGGCCGAUACUGACGCUGAGGAGCGAAAGCGUGGGGAGCGAACAGG